rnacentral:misc_RNA from 1 species
AUAUAUAUAUAUAUAUAUAUGGAAGUUUCUAAGAGAGUAAUGUAGAAGUAAAGAGUCAAGUGAAAGUACAAAACAAGUAACUGAAGGAAUUUUUUAAAAGAUACAUUUACAGAGAAACAGAAAAGCAAUUAAAAACUGUUUUUCAAACCAAAGAAUAAAAGAAACCAUGAAGAAAAAUUAAGGCAGUAGAAACGGCAUGAUCAAAAUUUUAACUUUGUUCCCUAGCAUUUAAACUAUCAUUAGACCACCUGAAGGAGCAUCAAUCAAUGAAUUAGUUCUCAUAAGAUAUAUUUGUUCAGACAACCAACCAAUUAAUGCAUUAUAAAACCAAUCAGAUUAAUCAACAAUCUUUUUUAUUUGGAUUUUUUGUGUUUCAUUUCGGAUUUUUGGUUUCAAGAAUUUGUAUGCAAAAGCAAGGAUAUUUAUAGCCAGCUCAAUGACUGUUAAGAGGAAACAUGACCCAGAGUUUCAGAAACAUAAUUAUUCAAACAUAAAAAUACUCAAGAAAUCAAAUAUUUUACACAAUGUGAAACUACGAGAAACCGAGAAUUGGUACACAAAUUCUUGGCUUGGUAAAUGACUAAAUAUUUAAUGAGAUUGAAGUUUCGCAGCAGAUUAAUUUGGAUCAGAGGUUUUGAAGGACCUCGAACAAAAUUUAUAAAGUUAUAAAAAAUUGAACUUAUCAGAAAAGGUCAUUUGGAAGCUGGGUACCCAGCACACACCAUCUGCCUGGGAUUAAGGAACAGGUAUCUUUCAGCAUUCUUGGAUUGAGAGGUUCAGAAAAAGAAAAACCCUAUAUAAAUCUCCUUUAGAAAGAUUAUUGGGACUUGGCAAGCAAUGCUUGAUGUCAGCACUACAUUGCUUUGUUGCCUAAUAAGAAAUUUAUGGAAGUUUUAAGUUGUCAAUUUUGUGCUUAUAUGAGCUAACAUGUGUAACACCUGGCAUGUUUGACAUAUUGAGGAGAUUUUUGUAAUGUCUAGUGCAUGAAUUAUAAGUAGGAUCUUCCCAAUAUCUCCACAAGGUAAUAACAAACUGUACAAACUAACUGCUUUUACUUCCAGGGAUUAUAGGUAGGAUGAUCCCGAUGUCUCCACAAAGUACUAAUGAACUGCACAAGCUAACUGUUUAUGCUUCAAAACUUUACAGACUAAUGGUAUUUAUAAAAAUUGAUAAUAACAACUAUACUCUUGGAUGUAGCACAAGUUGAGCAAAGACAUGAUUAAAUGAAUGACAAUAAAUAUGCCUCAAAUAUCUUUAUCAAACACGCUACCUGCCUACCUCUUUCUACUGUUCAGGCAAAUGAUACUGUCAACCUCUUUUAAUAGAAAAUAUAGCCAAUAACAUAAUUUCGAAAGGUUUAGUGACCUAAAACGGCUUGAACUUUACUGAAUCUGCAAUUAAGUUCCGUACUUCCAAUAUAGGAAAAUUUAGCCUGUACUUUAAUCUUUGAGUUUAAUAAUGGCCAAGCACCCAAAACCAUUUACUUCAUGUCAAAAAGACUUACAAAGAGAGGGGGGGAAAAAUUAAGCACCAUUGUUUAUAGAUUUGGUGGUCUAUAAUAAACAUACUGAGAAAUUGAUUUUACAUAUAAAUUAUAAUUGAAUCAAUUUUCAAGGCCUGGUGACAAUUGAUCACAUAACUAAAGUGCAAGGCUAUAAUUGGUAUUUCUAUAGUACAAGUGAUAACUGCAAAUUAAGUAGUUAAGGACUAACACAAGUUUACUAAUUAAGUCGACACAAGCAUAGUGCUCUUGACAAGGACAGAAAGUAUUGGACCGAGGACACUUGUGAAAAAUGAAAUAUGUAAUAUUUCUAGCAUU